rfam:Canis lupus familiaris chromosome X, whole genome shotgun sequence.
GCCUGGGUGGCUCAGUGGUUGAGCAUCUGCCUUCAACUCAGGACCUGAUCCUAGAGUCCUGGGAUCAAGUCCCACGUCAGGCU